AGUGCGGCGGGUCUACCAUGCAGUCGAACGGUGAAGCCCAGCUUGCUGGGUGGAUCAGUGGCGAACGGGUGAGUAACACGUGAGCAACCUGCCCUGGACUCUGGGAUAAGCGCUGGAAACGGCGUCUAAUACUGGAUAUGAACCACGAAGGCAUCUUCAGUGGUUGGAAAGAUUUUUCGGUCUGGGAUGGGCUCGCGGCCUAUCAGCUUGUUGGUGAGGUAAUGGCUCACCAAGGCGUCGACGGGUAGCCGGCCUGAGAGGGUGACCGGCCACACUGGGACUGAGACACGGCCCAGACUCCUACGGGAGGCAGCAGUGGGGAAUAUUGCACAAUGGGCGGAAGCCUGAUGCAGCAACGCCGCGUGAGGGAUGACGGCCUUCGGGUUGUAAACCUCUUUUAGCAAGGAAGAAGCUUUUGUGACGGUACUUGCAGAAAAAGCGCCGGCUAACUACGUGCCAGCAGCCGCGGUAAUACGUAGGGCGCAAGCGUUAUCCGGAAUUAUUGGGCGUAAAGAGCUCGUAGGCGGUUUGUCGCGUCUGCUGUGAAAUCCCGAGGCUCAACCUCGGGCCUGCAGUGGGUACGGGCAGACUAGAGUGCGGUAGGGGAGAUUGGAAUUCCUGGUGUAGCGGUGGAAUGCGCAGAUAUCAGGAGGAACACCGAUGGCGAAGGCAGAUCUCUGGGCCGUAACUGACGCUGAGGAGCGAAAGGGUGGGGAGCAAACAGGCUUAGAUACCCUGGUAGUCCACCCCGUAAACGUUGGGAACUAGUUGUGGGGUCCUUUCCACGGAUUCCGUGACGCAGCUAACGCAUUAAGUUCCCCGCCUGGGGAGUACGGCCGCAAGGCUAAAACUCAAAGGAAUUGACGGGGACCCGCACAGCGGCGGAGCAUGCGAUUAAUUCGAUGCAACGCGAAGAACCUUACCAAGGCUUGACAUAACACGAGAACACCCUAAGAAAAUAGGGA
rnacentral:rRNA from 1 species